rnacentral:rRNA from 1 species
UACGUAGGGGGCUAGCGUUGUCCGGAAUCAUUGGGCGUAAAGAGCUCGUAGGCGGCUUGUUGCGUCGGUUGUGAAAGCCCGGGGCUUAACCCCGGGUCUGCAGUCGAUACGGGCAGGCUAGAGUGUGGUAGGGGAGAUCGGAAUUCCUGGUGUAGCGGUGAAAUGCGCAGAUAUCAGGAGGAACACUGGUGGCGAAGGCGGAUCUCUGGGCCAUUACUGACGCUGAGGAGCGAAAGCGUGGGGAGCGAACAGG